rnacentral:lncRNA from 1 species
UAUACGGAAAGUGACACACAUGAUGUUCACAUUUGGGUUAUGAAGUAAACGUACACCUAUUUUAUCACUGGACUAUUUCGACUAACUUAUACUUUUUUCAUUGUAUCAAUACAUAUAAGAUUCAAAUACUAAACAAUUCUAAAAUUACAGAAACAAGCUGAUCCAGAAGGAUCAGAACCGACUCGAAAUCUAACCAAAUUACUACCAAUUCCUACAUGGGUAUGAAAUAUACUUAUCUGAUAAAUUUGAAACCGGCUGGUUCUUAUCCGAAACCAAACUAAAUACCCAAAUGUUGA